UUAAGCGACUAAGCGUACACGGUGGAUGCCCUGGCAGUCAGAGGCGAUGAAGGACGUGCUAAUCUGCGAUAAGCGUCGGUAAGGUGAUAUGAACCGUUAUAACCGGCGAUUUCCGAAUGGGGGAAACCCAGUGUGUUUCGACACACUAUCAUUAACUGAAUCCAUAGGUUAAUGAGGCGAACCGGGGGAACUGAAACAUCUAAGUACCCCGAGGAAAAGAAAUCAACCGAGAUUCCCCCAGUAGCGGCGAGCGAACGGGGAGGAGCCCAGAGCCUGAAUCAGUGUGUGUGUUAGUGGAAGCGUCUGGAAAGGCGCGCGAUACAGGGUGACAGCCCCGUACACAAAAAUGCACAUGCUGUGAGCUCGAUGAGUAGGGCGGGACACGUGGUAUCCUGUCUGAAUAUGGGGGACCGAUCCUCCAAGGCUAAAUACUCCUGACUGACCGAUAGUGAACCAGUACCGUGAGGGAAAGGCGAAGAGAACCCCGGCGAGGGGAGUGAAAAAGAACCUGAAACCGUGUACGUACAAGCAGUGGGAGCACGCUUAGGCGUGUGACUGCGUACCUUUUGUAUAAUGGGUCAGCGACUUAUAUUCUGUAGCAAGGUUAACCGAAUAGGGGAGCCGAAGGGAAACCGAGUCUUAACUGGGCGUUAAGUUGCAGGGUAUAGACCCGAAACCCGGUGAUCUAGCCAUGGGCAGGUUGAAAGUUGGGUAACACUAACUGGAGGACCGAACCGACUAAUGUUGAGAAAUUAGCGGAUGACUUGUGGCUGGGGGUGAAAGGCCAAUCAAACCGGGAGAUAGCUGGUUCUCCCCGAAAGCUAUUUAGGUAGCGCCUCGUGAAUUCAUCUCCGGGGGUAGAGCACUGUUUCGGCAAGGGGGUCAUCCCGACUUACCAACCCGAUGCAAACUGCGAAUACCGGAGAAUGUUAUCACGGGAGACACACGGCGGGUGCUAACGUCCGUCGUGAAGAGGGAAACAACCCAGACCGCCAGCUAAGGUCCCAAAGUCAUGGUUAAGUGGGAAACGAUGUGGGAAGGCCCAGACAGCCAGGAUGUUGGCUUAGAAGCAGCCAUCAUUUAAAGAAAGCGUAAUAGCUCACUGGUCGAGUCGGCCUGCGCGGAAGAUGUAACGGGGCUAAACCAUGCACCGAAGCUGCGGCAGAGACGCUGAUGCGUUGUUGGGUAGGGGAGCGUUCUGUAAGCCUGUGAAGGUGUGCUGUGAGGCAUGCUGGAGGUAUCAGAAGUGCGAAUGCUGACAUAAGUAACGAUAAAGCGGGUGAAAAGCCCGCUCGCCGGAAGACCAAGGGUUCCUGUCCAACGUUAAUCGGGGCAGGGUGAGUCGACCCCUAAGGCGAGGCCGAAAGGCGUAGUCGAUGGGAAACAGGUUAAUAUUCCUGUACUUGGUGUUACUGCGAAGGGGGGACGGAGAAGGCUAUGUUGGCCGGGCGACGGUUGUCCCGGUUUAAGCGUGUAGGCUGGUUUUCCAGGCAAAUCCGGAAAACUAAGGCUGAGGCGUGAUGACGAGGCACUACGGUGCUGAAGCAACAAAUGCCCUGCUUCCAGGAAAAGCCUCUAAGCAUCAGGUAACAUCAAAUCGUACCCCAAACCGACACAGGUGGUCAGGUAGAGAAUACCAAGGCGCUUGAGAGAACUCGGGUGAAGGAACUAGGCAAAAUGGUGCCGUAACUUCGGGAGAAGGCACGCUGAUAUGUAGGUGAAGUCCCUCGCGGAUGGAGCUGAAAUCAGUCGAAGAUACCAGCUGGCUGCAACUGUUUAUUAAAAACACAGCACUGUGCAAACACGAAAGUGGACGUAUACGGUGUGACGCCUGCCCGGUGCCGGAAGGUUAAUUGAUGGGGUCAGCGCAAGCGAAGCUCUUGAUCGAAGCCCCGGUAAACGGCGGCCGUAACUAUAACGGUCCUAAGGUAGCGAAAUUCCUUGUCGGGUAAGUUCCGACCUGCACGAAUGGCGUAAUGAUGGCCAGGCUGUCUCCACCCGAGACUCAGUGAAAUUGAACUCGCUGUGAAGAUGCAGUGUACCCGCGGCAAGACGGAAAGACCCCGUGAACCUUUACUAUAGCUUGACACUGAACAUUGAGCCUUGAUGUGUAGGAUAGGUGGGAGGCUUUGAAGUGUGGACGCCAGUCUGCAUGGAGCCGACCUUGAAAUACCACCCUUUAAUGUUUGAUGUUCUAACGUUGACCCGUAAUCCGGGUUGCGGACAGUGUCUGGUGGGUAGUUUGACUGGGGCGGUCUCCUCCUAAAGAGUAACGGAGGAGCACGAAGGUUGGCUAAUCCUGGUCGGACAUCAGGAGGUUAGUGCAAUGGCAUAAGCCAGCUUGACUGCGAGCGUGACGGCGCGAGCAGGUGCGAAAGCAGGUCAUAGUGAUCCGGUGGUUCUGAAUGGAAGGGCCAUCGCUCAACGGAUAAAAGGUACUCCGGGGAUAACAGGCUGAUACCGCCCAAGAGUUCAUAUCGACGGCGGUGUUUGGCACCUCGAUGUCGGCUCAUCACAUCCUGGGGCUGAAGUAGGUCCCAAGGGUAUGGCUGUUCGCCAUUUAAAGUGGUACGCGAGCUGGGUUUAGAACGUCGUGAGACAGUUCGGUCCCUAUCUGCCGUGGGCGCUGGAGAACUGAGGGGGGCUGCUCCUAGUACGAGAGGACCGGAGUGGACGCAUCACUGGUGUUCGGGUUGUCAUGCCAAUGGCACUGCCCGGUAGCUAAAUGCGGAAGAGAUAAGUGCUGAAAGCAUCUAAGCACGAAACUUGCCCCGAGAUGAGUUCUCCCUGACUCCUUGAGAGUCCUGAAGGAACGUUGAAGACGACGACGUUGAUAGGCCGGGUGUGUAAGCGCAGCGAUGCGUUGAGCUAACCGGUACUAAUGAACCGUGAGGCUUAACCUU
rnacentral:rRNA from 1 species